rnacentral:rRNA from 1 species
UACAGAGGGUGCGAGCGUAAUCGGAAUUACUGGGCGUAAAGGGCGCGUAGGCGGUUUAUUAAGUGAGAUGUGAAAUCCCUGGGCUUAACCUAGGAACUGCAUCUCAUACUGGUAGACUAGAGUACUGUAGAGGGUAGUGGAAUUUCCGGUGUAGCGGUGAAAUGCGUAGAUAUCGGGAAGGAACACCAGUGGCGAAGGCGGCUACCUGGACAGAUACUGACG